rnacentral:rRNA from 1 species
AAUUCGAUGCAACGCGAAGAACCUUACCUGGUCUUGACAUCCCGGAGACCCUUAGGAAACUAGGGGGUGCUUCCAUCUGGAAGAAUCUGGAGACAGGUGCUGCAUGGCUGUCGUCAGCUCGUGUCGUGAGGAUGUUGGGUUAAGUCCCGCAACGAGCGCAACCCUUGCCUUUAGUUGCCAGCAGUUCGGCUGGGCACUCUAAAGGGACUGCCGGUGUUAAACCGGAGGAAGGUGGGGACGACGUCAAGUCCUCAUGGCCUUUAUGACCAGGGCUACACACGUACUACAAUGGCCGAUACAAAGGGCAGCGACACUGCGAGGUGAAGCCAAUCCCGUAAAAUCGGUCUCAGUCCGGAUUGGAGUCUGCAACUCGACUCCAUGAAGUUGGAAUCGCUAGUAAUCGUGGAUCAGCAUGCCACGGUGAAUACGUUCCCGGGCCUU